CCUACGGGGGGCUGCAGUGGGGAAUAUUGGACAAUGGGGGCAACCCUGAUCCAGCCAUGCCGCGUGUGUGAAGAAGGCCCUCGGGUUGUAAAGCACUUUCAGUGAGGAAGAACGCCUGGUGGUUAAUACCCAUCAGGAAAGACAUCACUCACAGAAGAAGCACCGGCUAACUCCGUGCCAGCAGCCGCGGUAAUACGGAGGGUGCGAGCGUUAAUCGGAAUUACUGGGCGUAAAGCGCGCGUAGGUGGCUUGAUAAGCCGGUUGUGAAAGCCCCGGGCUCAACCUGGGAACGGCAUCCGGAACUGUCAAGCUAGAGUGCAGGAGAGGAAGGUAGAGUUCCCGGUGUAGCGGUGAAAUGCGUAGAGAUCGGGAGGAAUACCAGUGGCGAAGGCGGCCUUCUGGACUGACACUGACACUGAGGUGCGAAAGCGUGGGUAGCAAACAGGAUUAGAUACCCCAGUAGUC
rnacentral:rRNA from 1 species